AGACUUCAGAGAAGGCUUGUGAAGUAGACCAAACCUGGGUUUGAGAAGUCAAUGAGAGAAGUGAACAAUUCUGAUACUCUUGAAACAUGGCCAUUAUUCGAUCAAUGUCAUAACUGCAAUGGCGUGUUCACAAUACCUAUUCCAGCAUCACAGGUAGCCUAGUUAUUAGCGUAAGAGCGGGGCAAGUAACUGAAAUGUUGCUGUGUCGAAUCUUCGACAUGACAAGGAGACCAUAUUGAGACAUUAUCUACAUCCAGAGAGCAACAGCAGGAAGAUCAGAGCUAAGAGGUCUCACCACUGCCUACAUUGAGGAGAUUUUCCCAAUUCUAUCAAAGCUAAAAAUACAGACAGGAGAGAAUCUGUAUCUCUGCUCUGACAGUUCCCAAUUCAACACUGGAGAGAAGGCCUACUCCUGUUCUGACUGCGAGAAUAUUUUCUCUCAGCAGAGCAACUUAACACACCAAUGUAUACACACAGGAGAGAAGCUUUACUCCUGCUCUGUUGGAAGAGUUUCUCUCAACAUGGCCACUUAAAAAGACACCAACAUACAUAAAUGUGAGAAACCUCAUCAGUUCUCUGACUAUCUAAGAUUAAAAUCAUUCCUUCACUUAAUUAUAAAGAAGUUGUAACACACUCUAUUUUAGUCCUAUUGUUUCUCACUUUGAGAGAACUCUGCAGAGGAAAGGGAGUGUUAUAGAAUGUUAGCCUCUCUUUACUUUACUGAUCAGUAUGCACCUGGUCAGUUUUGGUGUGUUUUGAUAGCUUCUACUGUAAAGAUAUUUAGAGCACCAUAGAUUUGCCUUUAGGGUUGAAUAUCCUCUGUGAGGCUGGUUGACUGGGUGGUACUGCUUCCCUCUGCAGUUUUAUGUGAGAAUAAGCUGGUAGACACAACAUGUAUCAGAUAGAGAUGGUGUGAUGAUCAGUUUUCACCAUUAGUUUGGGUGGAUACUUUUUGUUUAUUAAAUUGUAUUUUAAAACUAGAUUUGUUAUUGUAAUCAUUAAUGAUGAAUAUGUUUGGAUAACAAUUGAAACCUGCUUAAUUUAUCUGCCAAUAAAAAAUUAAGUUUGUACAUGAAUUUAUACUGGUCAAACUCUUCUCUUCUGCACAAUGAAUUACC